GAUGAACGCUGGCGGCGUGCCUAAUACAUGCAAGUCGAGCGAACGGACGAGAAGCUUGCUUCUCUGAUGUUAGCGGCGGACGGGUGAGUAACACGUGGAUAACCUACCUAUAAGACUGGGAUAACUUCGGGAAACCGGAGCUAAUACCGGAUAAUAUUUUGAACCGCAUGGUUCAAAAGUGAAAGACGGUCUUGCUGUCACUUAUAGAUGGAUCCGCGCUGCAUUAGCUAGUUGGUAAGGUAACGGCUUACCAAGGCAACGAUGCAUAGCCGACCUGAGAGGGUGAUCGGCCACACUGGAACUGAGACACGGUCCAGACUCCUACGGGAGGCAGCAGUAGGGAAUCUUCCGCAAUGGGCGAAAGCCUGACGGAGCAACGCCGCGUGAGUGAUGAAGGUCUUCGGAUCGUAAAACUCUGUUAUUAGGGAAGAACAUAUGUGUAAGUAACUGUGCACAUCUUGACGGUACCUAAUCAGAAAGCCACGGCUAACUACGUGCCAGCAGCCGCGGUAAUACGUAGGUGGCAAGCGUUAUCCGGAAUUAUUGGGCGUAAAGCGCGCGUAGGCGGUUUUUUAAGUCUGAUGUGAAAGCCCACGGCUCAACCGUGGAGGGUCAUUGGAAACUGGAAAACUUGAGUGCAGAAGAGGAAAGUGGAAUUCCAUGUGUAGCGGUGAAAUGCGCAGAGAUAUGGAGGAACACCAGUGGCGAAGGCGACUUUCUGGUCUGUAACUGACGCUGAUGUGCGAAAGCGUGGGGAUCAAACAGGAUUAGAUACCCUGGUAGUCCACGCCGUAAACGAUGAGUGCUAAGUGUUAGGGGGUUUCCGCCCCUUAGUGCUGCAGCUAACGCAUUAAGCACUCCGCCUGGGGAGUACGACCGCAAGGUUGAAACUCAAAGGAAUUGACGGGGACCCGCACAAGCGGUGGAGCAUGUGGUUUAAUUCGAAGCAACGCGAAGAACCUUACCAAAUCUUGACAUCCUUUGACAACUCUAGAGAUAGAGCCUUCCCCUUCGGGGGACAAAGUGGCAGGUGGUGCAUGGUUGUCGUCAGCUCGUGUCGUGAGAUGUUGGGUUAAGUCCCGCAACGAGCGCAACCCUUAAGCUUAGUUGCCAUCAUUAAGUUGGGCACUCUAAGUUGACUGCCGGUGACAAACCGGAGGAAGGUGGGGAUGACGUCAAAUCAUCAUGCCCCUUAUGAUUUGGGCUACACACGUGCUACAAUGGACAAUACAAAGGGCAGCGAAACCGCGAGGUCAAGCAAAUCCCAUAAAGUUGUUCUCAGUUCGGAUUGUAGUCUGCAACUCGACUAUAUGAAGCUGGAAUCGCUAGUAAUCGUAGAUCAGCAUGCUACGGUGAAUACGUUCCCGGGUCU
rnacentral:rRNA from 1 species